UGCAAGUCGAGCGAAUGGAUUAAGAGCUUGCUCUUAUGAAGUUAGCGGCGGACGGGUGAGUAACACGUGGGUAACCUGCCCAUAAGACUGGGAUAACUCCGGGAAACCGGGGCUAAUACCGGAUAACAUUUUGAACCGCAUGGUUCGAAAUUGAAAGGCGGCUUCGGCUGUCACUUAUGGAUGGACCCGCGUCGCAUUAGCUAGUUGGUGAGGUAACGGCUCACCAAGGCAACGAUGCGUAGCCGACCUGAGAGGGUGAUCGGCCACACUGGGACUGAGACACGGCCCAGACUCCUACGGGAGGCAGCAGUAGGGAAUCUUCCGCAAUGGACGAAAGUCUGACGGAGCAACGCCGCGUGAGUGAUGAAGGCUUUCGGGUCGUAAAACUCUGUUGUUAGGGAAGAACAAGUGCUAGUUGAAUAAGCUGGCACCUUGACGGUACCUAACCAGAAAGCCACGGCUAACUACGUGCCAGCAGCCGCGGUAAUACGUAGGUGGCAAGCGUUAUCCGGAAUUAUUGGGCGUAAAGCGCGCGCAGGUGGUUUCUUAAGUCUGAUGUGAAAGCCCACGGCUCAACCGUGGAGGGUCAUUGGAAACUGGGAGACUUGAGUGCAGAAGAGGAAAGUGGAAUUCCAUGUGUAGCGGUGAAAUGCGUAGAGAUAUGGAGGAACACCAGUGGCGAAGGCGACUUU
rnacentral:rRNA from 1 species